rnacentral:rRNA from 1 species
AUUGAACGCUGGCGGCAUGCUUUACACAUGCAAGUCGAACGGCAGCGCGGGCUUCGGCCUGGCGGCGAGUGGCGAACGGGUGAGUAAUGCAUCGGAACGUGCCCAGUAGUGGGGGAUAGCCCGGCGAAAGCCGGAUUAAUACCGCAUACGACCUGAGGGUGAAAGCGGGGGACCGAAAGGCCUCGCGCUAUUGGAGCGGCCGAUGUCGGAUUAGCUAGUUGGUGGGGUAAAGGCUUACCAAGGCGACGAUCCGUAGCUGGUCUGAGAGGACGACCAGCCACACUGGGACUGAGACACGGCCCAGACUCCUACGGGAGGCAACAGUGGGGAAUGUUGGACAAUGGGGGCAACCCUGAUCCAGCCAUGCCGCGUGCGGGAAGAAGGCCUUCGGGUUGUAAACCGCUUUUGUUCGGGAAGAAAUCCUCUGGGCUAAUACCCCGGGGGGAUGACGGUACCGGAAGAAUAAGCACCGGCUAACUACGUG